rnacentral:rRNA from 1 species
AUUGAACGCUGGCGGCAGGCCUAACACAUGCAAGUCGAGCGGAUGAAGGGAGCUUGCUCCUGGAUUCAGCGGCCGACGGGCGAGUAAUGCCUAGGAAUCUGCCUGGUUGUGGGGUAUAACGUCCGGAAACGGGCGCUCAUACCGCAUACGUCCUGAGGGCGUAAGUGUGGGAUCUUCGGACCUCCCGCUCUCAGAUGAGCCUAGGUCGGAUUAGCUAGUUGGUGGGGUAAAGGCCUACCAAGGCGACGAUCCGUAACUGGUCUGAGAGGCUGAUCAGGCACACUGGAACUGAGACACGGUCCCAACUCCUAAGGGAGGGAGCAGUGGGGAAUAUUGGGACAUGGGGGAAAGCCUGAUCCAAGCAAGCCGGGUGUGUGAAGGAGGUCUUCGGAGUGGAAAACCCUUUAAGUUGGGAGGAAGGGCAGGCAGUUAAUACCUUGCUGUUUUGAAGUUAACAAAAGAAUAAACCACGGCUAACUUCGUG